rnacentral:rRNA from 1 species
CACAUGCUGUGAGCUCGAUGAGUAGGGCGGGACACGUGGUAUCCUGUCUGAAUAUGGGGGGACCAUCCUCCAAGGCUAAAUACUCCUGACUGACCGAUAGUGAACCAGUACCGUGAGGGAAAGGCGAAAAGAACCCCGGCGAGGGGAGUGAAAAAGAACCUGAAACCGUGUACGUACAAGCAGUGGGAGCACGCUUAGGCGUNACUGACCGAUAGUGAACCAGUACCGUGAGGGAAAGGCGAAAAGAACCCCGGCGAGGGGAGUGAAAAAGAACCUGAAACCGUGUACGUACAAGCAGUGGGAGCCUCUUUAUGGGNCCAUCCUCCAAGGCUAAAUACUCCUGACUGACCGAUAGUGAACCAGUACCGUGAGGGAAAGGCGAAAAGAACCCCGGCGAGGGGAGUGAAAAAGAACCUGAAACCGUGUACGUACAAGCAGUGGGAGCACGCUUAGGCGUGUGACUGCGUACCUUUUGUAUAAUGGGUCAGCGACUUAUAUUCUGUAGCAAGGUUAACCGAAUAGGGGAGCCGAAGGGAAACCGAGUCUUAACUGGGCGUUAAGUUGCAGGGUAUAGACCCGAAACCCGGUGAUCUAGCCAUGGGCAGGUUGAAGGUUGGGUAACACUAACUGGAGGACCGAACCGACUAAUGUUGAAAAAUUAGCGGAUGACUUGUGGCUGGGGGUGAAAGGCCAAUCAAACCGGGAGAUAGCUGGUUCUCCCCGAAAGCUAUUUAGGUAGCGCCUCGUGAAUUCAUCUCCGGGGGUAGAGCACUGUUUCGGCAAGGGGGUCAUCCCGACUUACCAACCCGAUGCAAACUGCGAAUACCGGAGAAUGUUAUCACGGGAGACACACGGCGGGUGCUAACGUCCGUCGUGAAGAGGGAAACAACCCAGACCGCCAGCUAAGGUCCCAAAGUCAUGGUUAAGUGGGAAACGAUGUGGGAAGGCCCAGACAGCCAGGAUGUUGGCUUAGAAGCAGCCAUCAUUUAAAGAAAGCGUAAUAGCUCACUGGUCGAGUCGGCCUGCGCGGAAGAUGUAACGGGGCUAAACCAUGCACCGAAGCUGCGGCAGCGACGCUUAUGCGUUGUUGGGUAGGGGAGCGUUCUGUAAGCCUGUGAAGGUGUGCUGUGAGGCAUGCUGGAGGUAUCAGAAGUGCGAAUGCUGACAUAAGUAACGAUAAAGCGGGUGAAAAGCCCGCUCGCCGGAAGACCAAGGGUUCCUGUCCAACGUUAAUCGGGGCAGGGUGAGUCGACCCCUAAGGCGAGGCCGAAAGGCGUAGUCGAUGGGAAACAGGUUAAUAUUCCUGUACUUGGUGUUACUGCGAAGGGGGGACGGAGAAGGCUAUGUUGGCCGGGCGACGGUUGUCCCGGUUUAAGCGUGUAGGCUGGUUUUCCAGGCAAAUCCGGAAAAUCAAGGCUGAGGCGUGAUGACGAGGCACUACGGUGCUGAAGCAACAAAUGCCCUGCUUCCAGGAAAAGCCUCUAAGCAUCAGGUAACAUCAAAUCGUACCCCAAACCGACACAGGUGGUCAGGUAGAGAAUACCAAGGCGCUUGAGAGAACUCGGGUGAAGGAACUAGGCAAAAUGGUGCCGUAACUUCGGGAGAAGGCACGCUGAUAUGUAGGUGAAGUCCCUCGCGGAUGGAGCUGAAAUCAGUCGAAGAUACCAGCUGGCUGCAACUGUUUAUUAAAAACACAGCACUGUGCAAACACGAAAGUGGACGUAUACGGUGUGACGCCUGCCCGGUGCCGGAAGGUUAAUUGAUGGGGUCAGCGCAAGCGAAGCUCUUGAUCGAAGCCCCGGUAAACGGCGGCCGUAACUAUAACGGUCCUAAGGUAGCGAAAUUCCUUGUCGGGUAAGUUCCGACCUGCACGAAUGGCGUAAUGAUGGCCAGGCUGUCUCCACCCGAGACUCAGUGAAAUUGAACUCGCUGUGAAGAUGCAGUGUACCCGCGGCAAGACGGAAAGACCCCGUGAACCUUUACUAUAGCUUGACACUGAACAUUGAGCCUUGAUGUGUAGGAUAGGUGGGAGGCUUAGAAGUGUGGACGCCAGUCUGCAUGGAGCCGACCUUGAAAUACCACCCUUUAAUGUUUGAUGUUCUAACGUUGACCCGUAAUCCGGGUUGCGGACAGUGUCUGGUGGGUAGUUUGACUGGGGCGGUCUCCUCCUAAAGAGUAACGGAGGAGCACGAAGGUUGGCUAAUCCUGGUCGGACAUCAGGAGGUUAGUGCAAUGGCAUAAGCCAGCUUGACUGCGAGCGUGACGGCGCGAGCAGGUGCGAAAGCAGGUCAUAGUGAUCCGGUGGUUCUGAAUGGAAGGGCCAUCGCUCAACGGAUAAAAGGUACUCCGGGGAUAACAGGCUGAUACCGCCCAAGAGUUCAUAUCGACGGCGGUGUUUGGCACCUCGAUGUCGGCUCAUCACAUCCUGGGGCUGAAGUAGGUCCCAAGGGUAUGGCUGUUCGCCAUUUAAAGUGGUACGCGAGCUGGGUUUAGAACGUCGUGAGACAGUUCGGUCCCUAUCUGCCGUGGGCGCUGGAGAACUGAGGGGGGCUGCUCCUAGUACGAGAGGACCGGAGUGGACGCAUCACUGGUGUUCGGGUUGUCAUGCCAAUGGCACUGCCCGGUAGCUAAAUGCGGAAGAGAUAAGUGCUGAAAGCAUCUAAGCACGAAACUUGCCCCGAGAUGAGUUCUCCCUGACCCUUUAAGGNCGAAACUUGCCCCGAGAUGAGUUCUCCCUGACUCCUUGAGAGUCCUGAAGGAACGUUGAAGACGACGACGUUGAUAGGCCGGGUGUGUAAGCGCAGCGAUGCGUUGAGCUAACCGGUACUAAUGAACCGUGAGGCUUAACC